GACGAACGCUGGCGGCGUGCUUAACACAUGCAAGUCGAACGGAAAGGCCCUGCUUUUGUGGGGUGCUCGAGUGGCGAACGGGUGAGUAACACGUGAGUAACCUGCCCUUGACUUUGGGAUAACUUCAGGAAACUGGGGCUAAUACCGGAUAGGAGCUUCUGCUGCAUGGUGGGGGUGGGAAAGUUUCGGCGGGUGGGGAUGGACGCGCGGCUUAUCAGCUUGUUGGGGGGGUAGUGGCUUACCAAGGCUUUGACGGGUAGCCGGCCUGAGAGGGUGACCGGCCACAUUGGGACUGAGAUACGGCCCAGACUCCUACGGGAGGCAGCAGUGGGGAAUAUUGCACAAUGGGCGGAAGCCUGAUGCAGCAACGCCGCGUGCGGGAUGACGGCCUUCGGGUUGUAAACCGCUUUCGCCUGUGACGAAGCGUGAGUGACGGUAAUGGGUAAAGAAGCACCGGCUAACUACGUG
rnacentral:rRNA from 1 species